AUUCCGUGAAAUCAUUUCAUGCUGCGCAUAUGAUAGGCUAUAAAAUAUGGUGAUUUUGUUACAUGGCCGGCUCUUUUUUAACUAAAGACCUCUACAUCUUUGUACUAGAUAAGCAGUUGGAAGAUAAAUGGACGAAUGGAUGUACAUUCUGUAAAGGACACUACAGCGGGGCUUGCCUGACACCACCAACCUCUGAGCUACAAUCCCUAUUUACAAACAUACCCCCUGAUCCCUAGUAGCAAACAUGGGGGUAACUUAAUAGUUCAUACACUGAACCGACCGAUAAAUAUAGACACCCUUGCAUUGUUCGUUUGGGAAAAGCUGUGUUUUGUCUCCGCUGUAAAGGUAAUACUAUUUGCUGUUUAAGACGCAGAAUGCCUGUUGACUUAAAUCAGUGAUAAACAUUUGGCUCUUAAUCGGAGAUGUUGCCUGGUUUGCCCUGACUCCAUUCUGGAAGCCCUCGGAGCUGUUUUUAAUCUGCAGUAACUCCCCUCAGUAAGCAUCGAUGACUCUCUCUCUCUCUGUAGGCUGGCUUCACGGCUUAUGGCAGCACUUCAGACAGAGCUGCUCGUUAAAGCUUGGGAGCGCAACUGAGAAACGAAGUGUCGGACAUUGGCGAUUAACCGGGAACUGGCUCGUUAAGCGACGGCAUUUCACUGAUUCGCUACGCGAUUAAUUUGCUAAUCGGUUUCAUUUGACACGUCAACGUGUUCAUUAACAUCGCAGCCGAAGUGUGAAACACCCCGGUUUUGGGUGAGGUGAGUCUGGGACAGAAUUUUUCCUGGAUCUCGCCAGCUAAUGACGGCUCAUAUGAAACUAUUGUGCAGUACGAUUCCUAUGGGUCUUCCUGGAGAUGUUUUAUGUGCUGUUCCGGGUCUGCUUGCACCCCGCACAUAUACCGAUCCCAUCAGGACGAAAGGCAUUGAUGUAAUGUAAUUUAGUCACAGUUUAAACCAAUUAACUUGCUAACAACGUGUGUUUGCUGGCAUUGUGCAAACACUGAGCUCUGGAACACAAUGCAUAGAUGAUAGCAUAUUUCAUUCCUAGGUUUUGUUCAAACAACACUCGCAUACUUUUUUCGGACUCGUGCAAGGUCGUCAUGCCUGGGGGUGGCUGGCUUUUUACAUCCAGUGUUUUUUUCUCCGGUAAUUACCUUAGGGAUUCGUUUUUUUCCCUGCCUUUUCCAUAUAAUAAUUCUGCAGAGCUGUAACUAUGUCAAUAUUUUUCCCUUUUCAAAUGCACGUAUAAGGUUGUUGCCAAAUGUUUGCUAAGCUUUUUAGGGGCAGUCAUGAAAGGACCUGCGCUAUUGACUGUGGCUUCCUAGUGACUGCCCCCUGCUGGACCUGAAUGGGAUUUCUACCGUGGGCGCCAUCACAGACGUCUGUGUACCAGGGUCAGGUGACUGGCAUGGGUCUUGGCGUACAGAUUUGCUUUAAUGUGCUUAGUGCUGCUGUUGUUUCUGCGAGGCCAUUUUGGGGGCCCUAAGUAGAGCUGGACAUUUGGUUCUGGAUGUUCCUUCAAACCAGUGGUGCACCAACUUGUAGUCAAGAUACAUCCAUCCAUCCAUCUUCUAUACCUGCUGUGUCCUGAAAUGCCAGAGAUUACAGGAAAGACAUUGACCAAGAAAGUUGCAGAAACCAGCCAGAAAUAAACAGGAUCGGGGGCCUGAUUGUCAGGAAUCGGAAUUGGUAUCAGAAAGUCUUAUUUUCCCUCUAUAUUAGAACUGAUCAUCAGAGUAUGUCACCAAACGUCAAACACGAUCACUGCCAAGAAAGCAAUUAGCCAGGGCUCCAUCCCCGAUCUCAGGCCACUGAGCGUUUGGUCCGAACCACAAAUGGGUGCCGUUACACGUCGCGAGCUUCUGAGACUCACUCUGCCUGGUUUGUUGUUGACCUUCAGAGCGAAUUUAACGUCUGCUUUGUCACUGAGGCUAUUGGUGGUGCGUGGAUGCAAACGCAGCAUCACUUUGACUUUCAAGGGGCUCGUAGCAAAUGUUGCUGCGUUUCCACUAAUGUCAGCAACGCAACACAGUUAGUGCGUAUGAAGGUAUUACGCGGCAUCCAUGAACCAGAAAAGCAGCUGACAAAAACCUGUCGGUCUUUAUUUAUUAUGGUUAUUUAAUGUAGCUGUUUAGCAGGCACUUCUGUUCACGGUGCCUUAAAGUGCUUAAAAGCUUUCAUUUAACCCGUUUAUACAACUGGAUGUACUGAAACAAUUAUGAUUAGGUGUCUUGCCCAAGGGUUACGAUGGCAGGAGCUUCCUGGUGCUUCACCAACAGCUUAAGUCCUUAAUGUCUACCGAGUCAUCUGUCAUCCAGAGGCUGUGAGUUGGCUCCCACGUGUCUGCACUGGCGUUUCUGGCGACCCCUAGUGGCUGAAGGACACACGCCGGUCAUUCUGAUACAGUUGCAGCUCCCGGGGGUCUGGGAUGACCCAGAUAGCUGGAAACCGUUCGUCGCCCUCCAUCAACACUUCAAUCUCAGUGCGGGCCAACUCCUCCAGCUCAGGGGUCAUUUCCGGGCACCAGUCGGUGCUGAAUUUGUCCCGCGCCUCCCAGAGAGAAGCCUCUAAUUCCUCAGGCUGCUCCCCAAACAGAUAGUCUACAGGGAUUGGGGUGCAAAAGAAGCAGAGUGGAACACAGUGGGUGAGGCUCACACACACACACACACACACACACACAGACCUGUACUCAUAUCUUUAUGGGGACCGUCCAUUCAUUCCUAGGGGUAAAACCAUAAUCCCAACAAUGAUAAUAUGUGUCCUGACAGUCCAAGGCGGGGGGGGGGGUUGUACCAUCCCUUGAGCUUUGUGUCCUUUUUGCGAAUCCCACACGAGGCUCACCUGCCAGGUCGUGGAUGAGGUCCCUGAUGAGGUGUCCGAUGAUGGCGUACAAGACCGUCACCACGAUCAGCGUCGCCAUCAGCAGGUACAGGACGUACUUGGGCAGGUGGAUGGCAUCCCGUGUGGGGGGGACGUAGUUCUUGAACAGAACUUCCACCUGCUGAUUGUCCUGGUACGAGCUGACAUCCAUCGCUCCCGUCCCUGUCUCUGCUCCUCUUCGGACACUCAGUGCUCCCACCCCCCCAAGCUUCACGGUGAGAGGGGGAGCCUCCUCACCACCCCCACCUGUUCUCUCAUCUACGGUGGGCCACCUAUAAGACAAAAACAUCCAAUAUGCUCGCUCCAGUUGCCGAAUGUGUCCAGCUUUCUAUACAGUAAUCCAUCCCGGCCCACAGUACAGAACUGAUUCAUCAGUAUCCUUGCUCUAGCCAAGCCGCCUGAGAGCCUCUCGGAGAAGGUGAUGAAGGAGCUGCUAUCCUGACUCCUGUCUCCACUCCCACCGCUUCAGCUGGCCCUCUGGUGUCACAGCUGAGCCAUCCAAGCGCAUGGUGAGCUGAGCUCGGCUUAGAAGAAAGUGGACCUAAGGACUACUGAAGGACAACGUCCUGAGAAGGAUGAGGCCUGGAAAUCCCAAUGCCAGGCAAGGUACUUGGAGCACGUGGAGCGGGGAGGGAAAGGUUGACGCCCCGCAGUGUAAAUUAGGAAGUUGUUAAUCAUAAGCUGCUGAGCCCUGAGUGGCUAUGACAAAGCCCCCACCUACAACUCCUAAUAUAAACCUCAAAUCUAAGUGUGAAUGAUCAGCAGCAAAGAUGUUUCUGGGUUAGUGCAGGAUAGAUAUAUAACAAAACAAAUCGCAUGUUUGAAGGCCUGCAAAUGGAUGCAGAGCGAUGUUGACAUUUGGGAGCACAAGAUCACUUCCUAUCCUGGAACAUCUUGAUGUUUCCCCACCAGACACACUGAAGCACCCUAAUCAUAAAUGAGGCGCGUGGAACUGUGAGAUUUCGAAUGGGUCUCCAGACAUCUUUGGUGACAUUUAGAGAUGCUUUAAUAAUAUUUUUAUACAGGGUAGAUUUGCUUCUUUUUUUUUUUUUUGUUAGUAGCCACUAAAAGUGAAAGUUUCAUUCUGGAUAUUGAUAAGAUCGUGGUUUUUCCAGACCACAUGUCAGUUUGCUGGUGCGCUGGAUUUUUGUCUUUUACUAAAUUCAAACUAGCGUUUUGAGAAAUUGAGAUUAAUUCCUAUCUCUACUGCAAUAACCGACAAUGUCCAAACAUUUCUGGUCAUGACUCUACCUUGGUUGAGGCGUUUGGAGAUACAGCAAAUAGCAUGUACAUUAUUAAUAUUGGAAUAAACUAUUGUACUAUAUUGCACUGAGUACAAUGUUCCAGCACUGUCAAAAACAAACUUGUUAAAAUGUUUAGUACUAGUACAUGUUUUAUUUCAGAGUUUUUUCCCCAGAGGUCCAGGGCAAAGCGUCUCAUAAAUCAUGGACGUAGAGGAGAUCUCCAUUACAGACUAGGAUUUAGAUAAUCUCUGUUACUCAGCCUGAAGCUUCGAUGACCUGGAUACAACUAAUCUGGACAUUUACAGCUGCUAAAUUCACACUGACGGCAGCUGAAGAUAAUAGAUAAUUGGAUGUAGUAGAGGCGAGGUAUGGGUUACAGCUAAUUGUUUAUUUAAUACAGAUCAGGACAUUUCAAUCACAGACCCUGAGCAAGUUCAGAUCAUACAAGUGUUAAUCUGUCAAAACAACUUGUCAGUUCACUGCAAUACAAAGUAUUGGCUGCUUUGAAACAGUGUAUGAGUAACUUACCACCUCAGUCUAUGUACACGCUAACCUACACAAAGCAGUGAUCAGAAUGA